GCGAUGUUAGUUCAGUUAUUGUCAUUAUUAAGCCUGUUUUUGUAAGAUGUUAUAAGUGUGUAGUAUGUGUGUAUCAUAAAUGUGUUUUAGGCGCCAUAAAUGCUAGCAUGAAUAUAUACUCCUUGCUAGCUUGGGAGCUGUGGUGGGUUGAGCUAACCCUCUUCCCCACUGUUUGUAUUUGGUCUAGGAGCUGGAGUGGGCAAAUUAUUUACUUGGAGGUCUUUCUUUCUUUUACCUUUUUUAUCAGGUAUGUCGGAUUUCAUGUUGUUGUUUUUGUUUUAUCUUAUGUCAAAUAUGUUACGUGUAAAUGCAUAUUUUAUGUUUAAUGUAAAAAUAAAUGCCAGCCCUUUUUCUACAAUUCCCCUGUGGGAGAGGAGCUGGAGUGGGCAAAUUAUUUACUUGGAGGUCUUUCUUUCUUUUACCUUUUUUAUCAGACACAACGCAGAAUCACACCGGUUACACUUGGUGCCGCUGACCCGUCACAUCGCCAAUCCGCGAUCCACCCCUCCUCCUUCUGCUGCCGCUGUUUUCCCGCCUCCUCUCUGCAGCUGUGUCCCAGAAUCCUGUGCCCUGCGCUUUGACUCACAGGUUUUUAUAACGACUGUGUGAUCGAUGCCCUGCAAUUUGGCUUACAGGCAUCUCUGUCACGUGUGAACUUAAAGGGCAAAUACGUAGGUGAUCAUUUCUGUCACUGUUUCAUAUUGUUGCUUCAAAUUAUACAGGCACGGAUUGUAAUUUAUUUAUUUUUUCUAUUGAUAUUGGCUUUUAAUUGAGAGGAGAAAACAACAUUUUAUUUUAUUUUCUAUGGUGUUUUGAUUCCUUGAUGUUUUUUUUCUUCUCCCCACAUUUCAUUGUUUUGUGAAGUUUUGCAUAAUUGUGUGUGGGGGUUAGGCUCGUUUUUUUUUUUUGCUGUUAAACAGUGAUAUCUCACUUGGGCCAACAUGUUAAGUGAGGAAACUAUGGAUAGCGCUUUGCCUGAUCUGUUCUCUGUGGGGAGUAAUAUGACCUUUGGUUUGGGGAGGGGUCAUCAGAUUGCUCCAAAGUGCUUUGGGAGGGGUAGGCCAGUAGUCCCAGGUAUUGGUGCCCACACUGUAGACCAGUCAGUGAUGCACUCACCAUUAAUGCCAGCAGCUAGCUCCACACCAGCUGCUUGCGAACGCCAAACACACACCCAGGCUGUCACUAGUGACAUGUUGAGCAGCUUGAUCACUGACUUAGCAAAGCAAAUUGGGGAAAAUAUCACAUCCUCUCUUAACUCUAUGCACCAGCCAGCCCCCACCCAGCCACAGUCUUCCCAGAAUGUGCCCUCGAGCUGCAAUGACCAGUCCCAGCUGAAGGUUGUUGUUCAGUCAGACACCAAAGCUCCACCAUACUUCAAGGGCGACAACACAGAUCUAUUUCCCAUCGGUGAAUGGGAGGACAUGAUGAGAUGUUAUCUGCACAGAAUCAGCU
ensembl:lncRNA